rnacentral:misc_RNA from 1 species
AACCUAGCACACCUGCGGUGUGUACCUGCGGAGGGAUCAUUAUAGAGUUUUCUAAACUCCCAAACCCAUGUGAACUUACCAUUGUUGCCUCGGCAGAACCUACCCGGUACCUACCCUGGAACUAGCUACCCUGUAGCUACCCAGGAACGGGCUACCCUGUAACGUCCUGCCGGUGGACUUCUAAACUCUUGUUAUUUAUAGUAAUCUGAGCGUCUUAUUUUAAUAAGUCAAAACUUUUAA